GUAGCUCAGUUGGUAGAGCACCAGAUUGUGGCUCUGGACGUCGCGGGUUCGAUCCCCGUCGGUCA
rnacentral:tRNA from 1 species